rnacentral:rRNA from 1 species
ACGGAAGGCAGCAGCUAAGAAUAUUCCGCAAUGGACGAAAGUCUGACGGAGCGACGCCGCGUGGAUGAUGAAGGCCGGAAGGUUGUAAAAUCCUUUUAAGUGUGAAGAAUAAGCGAGGGCAGGGAAAGCCUUUGCGGUGACGGUAGCACUUGAAUAAGCAACGGCUAAUUACGUGCCAGCAGCCGCGGUAACACGUAAGUUGCGAGCGUUGUUCGGAAUUAUUGGGCGUAAAGGGCAUGUAGGCGGUUUUGCAAGCUUGGUGUGAAAUCCCGGGGCUUAACUCCGGAAUUGCGUUGAGAACUGCAUAACUAGAGUCACUGAGGGGCAAUCAGAAUUCCUGGUGUAGGGGUGAAAUCUGUAGAUAUCAGGAAGAAUACCAAUGGCGAAGGCAGGUUACCAGCAGAUGACUGACGCUGAGGUGCGAAGGUGCGGGGAGCAAACAGGAUUAGAUACCCUGGUA